UGCCUCAGUAACGGCGAGUGAAGCGGCAACAGCUCAAAUUUGAAAUCUGGCCGCAAGGUCCGAGUUGUAAUUUGCAGAGGAUGCUUUUGGCGAGGUGCCUUCCGAGUUCCCUGGAACGGGACGCCAUAGAGGGUGAGAGCCCCGUACGGUAGGACCACCGAGCCUUUGUAAAGCUCCUUCGACGAGUCGAGUAGUUUGGGAAUGCUGCUCUAAAUGGGAGGUGUACGUCUUCUAAAGCUAAAUACCGGCCAGAGACCGAUAGCGCACAAGUAGAGUGAUCGAAAGAUGAAAAGCACUUUGAAAAGAGGGUUAAAAAGUACGUGAAAUUGUUGAAAGGGAAGCAUUCAUGACCAGACUUGGGCUUGGUUGAACAUCCGGCGUUCUCGCCGGUGCACUCUGCCAGUCCAGGCCAGCAUCAGUUUGCCCCGGGGGACAAAGGCGGUGGGAAUGUGGCUCUCUCCGGGGAGUGUUAUAGCCCGCCGUGUAAUGCCCUGGGGCGGACUGAGGAACGCGCUUCGGCUCGGAUGCUGGCGUAAUGGUCAUCAAUGACCCGUCUUGAAACACGGACCAAGGAGUCGUCUUCGUAUGCGAGUGUUCGGGUGUCAAACCCCUACGCGAAAUGAAAGUGAACGUAGGUGAGAGCUUCGGCGCAUCACCGACCGAUCCUGAUGUUCUCGGACGGAUUUGAGUAAGAGCAUAC
rnacentral:rRNA from 1 species